CCUACGGGAGGCAGCAGUGAGGAAUAUUGGUCAAUGGACGCAAGUCUGAACCAGCCAUGCCGCGUGCAGGAAGACGGCUCUAUGAGUUGUAAACUGCUUUUGUACGAGGGUAAACGCAGAUACGCGUAUCUGUCUGAAAGUAUCGUACGAAUAAGGAUCGGCUAACUCCGUGCCAGCAGCCGCGGUAAUACGGAGGAUUCAAGCGUUAUCCGGAUUUAUUGGGUUUAAAGGGUGCGUAGGCGGUCGGAUAAGUUAGAGGUGAAAUCCCGAGGCUCAACUUCGGAAUUGCCUCUGAUACUGUUCGUCUAGAGAGUAGUGGCGGUAGGCGGAAUGUAUGGUGUAGCGGUGAAAUGCUUAGAGAUCAUACAGAACACCGAUUGCGAAGGCAGCUUACCAAGCUACUUCUGACGUUGAGGCACGAAAGCGUGGGGAGCAAACAGGAUUAGAUACCCCUGUAGUC
rnacentral:rRNA from 1 species